GGUUCCAUGGCUUAGUGGAAGAGUGUCUGCUUUGCACGCAGAACGUCCCUGGUUCAAUCCCUGGCAUCUCCA
rnacentral:tRNA from 1 species